rnacentral:rRNA from 1 species
UGCAAGUCGAACGAAGCGCCUUUUAAGAUUCUUCGGAUGAUUGAUUGGUGACUGAGUGGCGGACGGGUGAGUAACGCGUGGGUAACCUGCCCUGUACAGGGGGAUAACAGUUGGAAACGGCUGCUAAUACCGCAUAAGCGCACGAGAGGACAUCCUCUUGUGUGAAAAACUCCGGUGGUACAGGAUGGGCCCGCGUCUGAUUAGCUGGUUGGCAGGGUAACGGCCUACCAAGGCGACGAUCAGUAGCCGGUCUGAGAGGAUGAACGGCCACAUUGGAACUGAGACACGGUCCAAACUCCUACGGGAGGCAGCAGUGGGGAAUAUUGCACAAUGGGGGAAACCCUGAUGCAGCAACGCCGCGUGAGUGAAGAAGUAUUUCGGUAUGUAAAGCUCUAUCAGCAGGGAAGAUAAUGACGGUACCUGACUAAGAAGCUCCGGCUAAAUACGUGCCAGCAGCCGCGGUAAUACGUAUGGAGCAAGCGUUAUCCGGAUUUACUGGGUGUAAAGGGUGCGUAGGUGGCAGUGCAAGUCAGAUGUGAAAGGCCGGGGCUCAACCCCGGAGCUGCAUUUGAAACUGCAUAGCUGGAGUACAGGAGAGGCAGGCGGAAUUCCUAGUGUAGCGGUGAAAUGCGUAGAUAUUAGGAGGAACACCAGUGGCGAAGGCGGCCUGCUGGACUGUGACUGACCCUGAGGCACGAAAGCGUGGGGAGC